CCUACGGGGGGCAGCAGUGGGGGAUAUUGCACAAUGGGGGGAACCCUGAUGCAGCGACGCCGCGUGGGUGAAGAAGCGCCUCGGCGCGUAAAGCCCUGUCAGCAGGGAAGAAAAUGACGGUACCUGACGAAGAAGCCCCGGCUAACUACGUGCCAGCAGCCGCGGUAAUACGGAGGGGGCAAGCGUUAACCGGAUUUACUGGGUGUAAAGGGGGCGCAGACGGCGAUGCAAGCCAGGAGUGAAAGCCCGGGGCCCAACCCCGGGACUGCUCUUGGAACUGCGAGGCUGGAGUGCAGGAGGGGCAGGCGGAAUUCCUGGUGUAGCGGUGAAAUGCGUAGAUAUCAGGAGGAACACCGGUGGCGAAGGCGGCCUGCUGGACUGCAACUGACGUUGAGGCCCGAAAGCGUGGGGAGCAAACAGGAUUAGAUACCCCUGUAGUC
rnacentral:rRNA from 1 species